CCUACGGGGGGCAGCAGUGGGGAAUAUUGCACAAUGGGGGAAACCCUGAUGCAGCGACGCCGCGUGAGUGAAGAAGUAUUUCGGUAUGUAAAGCUCUAUCAGCAGGGAAGAAGCAAGACGGUACCUGACGAAGAAGCCCCGGCUAACGACGUGCCAGCAGCCGCGGUAAUACGGAGGGGGCAAGCGUUAUCCGGAUUUAGUGGGUUUAAAGGGUGCGCAGGCGGAGGGGCAAGGCAGCGGUCAAAUUGCGGGGCUCAACCCCGUACUGCCGUUGAAACUGCAUCCCUUGAGUGCGCGAGAAGUAUGCGGAAUGCGUGGUGUAGCGGUGAGAUGCAUAGCUAUCACGCAGAACUCCGAUUGCGAAGGCAGCCUACCGGCGCGCAACUGCCGCUCCUGCACGACAGCGUGGGUAUCGAACAGGAUUAGAUACCCUGGUAGUC
rnacentral:rRNA from 1 species